rnacentral:rRNA from 1 species
UACAGAGGUCUCAAGCGUUGUUCGGAUUCAUUGGGCGUAAAGGGUGCGUAGGCGGCGCGGUAAGUCGGAUGUGAAAUCUCGGAGCUUAACUUCGAAACUGCAUUCGAUACUGCCGUGCUUGAGGACUGGAGAGGAGACUGGAAUUUACGGUGUAGCGGUGAAAUGCGUAGAUAUCAGAGGAACACACAUGGCGAAGGCGGGUCGUCUGGCAUAUCUGACGCUGAGGAGCGAAAGGCAGUGG